GGUUCAAGGCUCCCGGCUCCGACUGGAACCUGGCGUUGACCGUCUCCUUGCGACUCGGCUGGCCGCUGAGUUUAGCUGCCGGCUUCCUGCACGGAAAUCACAAGUAGUACCCUAAGGCCUCCUUUCCUAAGGAUGAAAAUCGGGGCACGGAAAUGAAGAACCCAGGUAUAAUUCUCACGUGCGGACGCAGAGGAUGUGGAGAGGGUUCCUGGAAGGCAGUCAUCGCACAGUCGGCGGGCGUUUUCCAGUUCUCAGUAUCCUAAGGUCAAGUUUCCUAAAAAAAAAGAAAAAAUCAGAAUCAAGGCAUGGGGGCGAAGAAUGCAGCUGCAACAAGAAGAUGUGUGAAGAUGGUGAAAAGUGCUUUUCGUACAGGCUGGUCAUUCCUUCAGCCUGGUCCUUGGCAGACGACUCCUGAUGCCAAGAUGGCCCAAGGAUGGCAUCACUCACGGUGAGCUGGGUUCUCCUUCAUCAACCAACUAUCAAGAAAAUGCUAGACCAUGUGGGUUCCAUAAUGAAGAUACCGCCUCAGUUGAGGCUUCGUCCUUCCAGACCACUCUGGUUUGUGUCCAGCUGACAAAAUCAACCCACACAUUAAUCAUCCAUUCCCAAACUUCAGUGCUUUCCAAUUUCAACCAUUUUCCUAAUUUUGAUAGAUUCAAGGUGGGGGGGCUGUGAAUGUGUAGCAUAUGAGGUUGAACUUAUAUCAUUGUCUUCUGUAGCCCCAUUGUAGGUCUUAAUAUUUAAACAGAUUUUUUUGUGUUUUCAUCUUGCUAGGGACCAUGCAAAUUAGAUGGAUCGAUCCUCUUCAGACUGUCUCGGUGCUAGCUUCCCUUCCCUAUUGUAACCAUCCAUUCCUGGUCCCAUCUCUCAUGCCCCCAGUGCUACCCACAAGGUCGUUCACUGUGGUAUUAUGGGAACUACCUCAGCGUCCUGUUAAGUCAGAGUGAGAACAUGAAUUAUUAUGGUGCUCAAAUGGAUUUGUCUAUAAUUAUUUGUCUAUAUCUUAGAGCAACAUGAGAGUUUUCAAAAAACCUUACCCAGUGAAUAAUAUGCACUAUGAGAUAAGAGACACAGAACACUACAGUUGGCAGCUUAAAAUCAAUUCCAUAAAAUAGCACAUGCUUUUCCAGACCAGAUAUAAACAAUAGGCUACGUGUGCGCUAUUACACACAAAGAUAGCUUCUGGGGAGGCAAGGAGAUGUAAUGAAGAUAUGAAGGAAAAGUAAUAAAUAGCUGGGCAUGGUAGUAUUUACCUUUAAUCCCAGCACUCAGGAAAUAGAAUCAGGCAGAUCUCUAUGAAUUUGAGGUCUGUCUACCUACAUAGUGAGUUCCAAGCCAUCUGGGUCUACAUAGGGAGACCUUAUCAAAAUCAAUCAAUCAAUCAAAGUAUACACACACAUUCACACACAGAAUAAGAGAGUCGGUGGUCUCAUGAUAAUAACCUAUCAUGAAUAGGAGUGUCAUUAGGUUACCUCUGUGUGCAACAAAUGAGUUGCCCCAAAACAAAAAGGAUGAAAAUUUUU
ensembl:processed_transcript